UUGUCCUUUGCCCUGAAUUUGAUAUUCGUGUGCGGGCCAAGUUGGCUGUCGCUGUGUGAAUUCAUCGCGGUUGUCGGCCAGGCGUGUAUAACACUAAUAUGUUAUUCUUGUCAAUCGAUGUAUUUAGUUGCAUUUGUUUAGUUGUAGAGUGAAAUAAUAGGCUCGCCCGACAAAUCAACAAUAAACAAACACCGUAACCUUGCAAUGCACUGGAUAUAUUUGGCAGAUGUCAGAUGACUUCUAUCAUUGGUUGGUGCAUGCUCACUUCGUACCUUGCAUCUUUGUUUUUCCAAUUUUAUUAGGGUUUGAAAUAAGUUGUUUCGAAAUAAGCAAUAGAAAAUGCAUUGCACCCCGCAAUACAUCUGGUACAGUAGUUUUAUUAGUAAUGAUAUGGGUGAUCAGCAUGGCCGGAAUAUUUGACGUCAGCAUUGAAUCCAUUGUGUUUAUCGGCGGUGUAAUGAACAAUACGAGUCCUGCCAUCGGGCUGCUCCAGUUUGUACCAUCCCUUGACAACAUCCCCAUCGCGUUCUUCUUCAGCAGAUUUCAUGUCAUGAGUGUGGUGGUCUUCAACUCCAUAUUUGUAUUCAUAUUUGGGAUGAUGCUAAAAGUAUUAAAUUAAUUCACAAAUAAUAA